GAGAACAUUUAACGCGUACAGUCAAUAUAAUUCUAAUGGAAGGUUUUCUGCAAUAAUCAGUAUUGGUUGCACUGGUAACGAAACGGACAUAAGUGGAUGCACACCCAGCAACCAAUGGACAUUGACAUCCUGUAGCACAAGCAAUCGUGCAGCAAUUAACUGUGCGCAAAAUUCUACUGUCAGGGUCGCAGAUGGACCUUCAAUAAAAGCUGGAAGAGUCGAGAUCUUGUAUAAUGGAGCCUGGCUGGGAAUCUGUCGUCAACGAUUAAUCAAUUAUAAUUAUUACGACAUCACGGCACAUGAUAUAAACAUUAUUUGUAAACAUCUGGGCUACAAUCAAAGUGGGUACUUGAUAAGCGAAGUACAGCCACGCAGCAAAAUUGUCGUUCGGAACCUUGACUGUAGCGAUACAGAAGGGGACAUCUCAGAUUGUAAAUCUGACACAUGGGGUGUUGAGUAUCCGUAUGACCAGGCAGCCAUAGUUUGCAACAGUAGCGUCCGCCUAGUGAACGGGAGCAGUGAGAGAUCCGGUCGUGUGUAAGUGCUGCACCAGGGGCGCUGGGGAACCAUCUGUGCUGACGAAUUUACAAACAGAGAGGCUGAUGUUGUCUGCAGAAAAGCUGGCAUUAGACUUUGGAAUGCAUCAGUUCUCGACGAUUCCCCAUUCGGGUUUGGUAAUCAUGGAUACCUUCUAAAAAACGUUUCGUGCAAAUCAAGCGAGCACGAUAUAGGGGAGUGUCAGAGUUUCCCAUGGAAUGAAACAUCCUGCGGGGAUGGAAACUUGGCAACU